UACAGAGGGCUCAAGCGUUGUUCGGAUUCAUUGGGCGUAAAGGGCGCGUAGGCGGCGGGGCAAGUCGGGUGUGAAAUCUCAGGGCUCAACCCUGAAACUGCACUCGAUACUGCUCUGCUUGAGGACUGGAGAGGAGACUGGAAUUCACGGUGUAGCAGUGAAAUGCGUAGAUAUCGUGAGGAAGACCAGUGGCGAAGGCGGGUCUCUGGACAGUUCCUGACGCUGAGGCGCGAAGGCCAGGGGAGCAAACGGG
rnacentral:rRNA from 1 species